rnacentral:rRNA from 1 species
ACGGAGGGUGCAAGCGUUAUCCGGAUUCACUGGGUUUAAAGGGUGCGUAGGUGGGCAGGUAAGUCAGUGGUGAAAUCUCCGAGCUUAACUCGGAAACUGCCGUUGAUACUAUUUGUCUUGAAUAUCGUUGAGGCAGGCGGAAUAUAUCAUGUAGCGGUGAAAUGCAUAGAUAUGAUAUAGAACACCAAUUGCGAAGGCAGCUUGCUAAACGAUCAUUGACGCUGAGGCACGAAAGCGUGGGGAUCAAACAGGA